UACGUAGGGUGCAAGCGUUAUCCGGAAUUAUUGGGCGUAAAGAGCUCGUAGGCGGUUUGUCACGUCUGCUGUGAAAACUGGAGGCUCAACCUCCAGCCUGCAGUGGGUACGGGCAGACUAGAGUGCGGUAGGGGAGAUUGGAAUUCCUGGUGUAGCAGUGAAAUGCGUAGAUAUCAGGAGGAACACCGAUGGCGAAGGCAGGUCUCUGGGCUGACACUGACGCUCAUGCACGAAAGCGUGGGGAGCAAACAGG
rnacentral:rRNA from 1 species